rnacentral:rRNA from 1 species
AGAUUGAUCUCCAACACCGGUGCAGAAGAAAAAACGCAAAUACUUGUCACCCUCUUUCGCUAUUCGGGGCUCGCUAGGCAAGCCGAGGUGAGGAGAGAGAAAGGGAAAAGGAGACGGAGCACGAGAGGAAAGGAGCGGCGGCGGUGGGGUAGGAUCCGCCGAGGAGAGGAGUAGCUUGGUCGGCGGAGGAGGGGUAGAAGUGCGCAUCGGAGGAGAGGGAGUUCGGGGCGGAGGAAGGGUGGCCCGAAGCGGAGAAGCCCGCCGCCCUGCGUCACCGACACCACUACCGUCUACCCCGCUGUUGCCGCCGCGAGGAGGAGAGGGUACCGCCAGCCGCCGCGAGACCGGCACCUCCGGACGAGGAGUACGAGGAGCAGACGGGCGAGGUAGAGAGGCGCCGGCGUGGGCUCAGGCUCACGCGGUUCAAGCGGCCGGGCGCGCGUGGACGUGGCCGAGGAGAAGUAGGCUGGGCACGGCGCGACGCAAGCGGCGCAGCGGAGGAGGACGCGAUGCGGCCGAGGCGGCGGGGUCUGGUGCGGGGAAGCGUACGACGAUGUCGCGGGGGGCGCGCCAGCGGCCGAGGGAGGCCGGCCGAGGCGGAGACGGGCCCCGGCCCACGAGGAGAGGAGCGCGCGGGAGCGCCAGCGUUCUCCGCCUAUACAUGCCUCCUAGGUGCUCGAACCACGGUAGGUAGGGCAGGCCGCUGCGAGUGGGGGAGAGGAGGUUGCGCAGCCACGAAAUAAGUGAACGCAGAAGCGACGGAGUUCACGCGUCCACUAAGACGUUUGGGGAGAGAUUAAAGAGAGAGAGAGAGAGAGAGAGAGAGAGAGAGAGAGAGAGAGGGAGAGAGAACUAAGCCAACAACGCAACGUUCUUUAUAAUAACACGUCUCCACCGACGUCGAUACGUGUAGACAAAAACUCCGACGUCUACGCUGGUGGUCGACAAACAUAUUUACGAGUUCCUCCUGACGAGACCUCUCCUGUUGUGCACACAAACUUUCUCCCUACCUUUUCUCCCCCGAUCUCAUUCUCUUCUCCUUCCUCACCUCGGUGUACAAUAAAGAAACAGGAGAUGCAGUAGGGUGGUAAUAUCUCUAAAAGAACCUACUGUACGGAGGGUAUGAGAGCGGGGAACACGAGGUAGACACAACCAUGGGAAAGUACCAAAGAACAGAGGUGAAGAAAGUACUAAGUAAGAAAAGUUUAUGAUUAAGUCCAACAAUAUGAUUAAACUGGCUACACCUGCCACAUUAUUAAGUCCAGCACGUACUGCCAGACGACUAAAGGAACUACGAAGUAGUCCAAAGUGAAAAAACUAUGUAACUAACCAAGGGUUAAACUACGUUUAUCGGUUUUACUUACCUAUAAUGAACACCAGUCUGAUUUAAAAGGCACAAGAAACACACACUAAUACGAGUUCAAAACCUUUUUAACCCGAUUCCCCACUAACACGAGUCCAAAACCACGUCCAAGAAAACUUAAGACUUUGAAACCAAACCAUACUGUCUGUUACGAUAAUUAUAAACUUGUCUGUUAUAUCAAUUAUCUCAGUGAAGUAUGAUUGUGCGUUUGAGUAAAACAUAACGUCACUCUAAGUCUAUUAAAAUCCUUUGUGUACCUUUCCUCAGGUCUGCCCGAGCCGCAUGUACCAAAAGUCAAUUGCACAGGAUUAAAACGUCACUCACUAGCUGCUUCCUUCGUGUUCCUUUUCUCGUUCGGUACUUUCUACGUCACUAACUAUCUAACCCGUUGAACAAGGACAAUCAAAGAGAUAACCGUUUCUUGUUAUAGGAUAAUUAGUAAAAAACACAUACGUAUUACAUAUAUCAAUUAGUUAACCGACACAUAUCACUGUAAUCAUUACUGGAACUGUCAAUGUUCACUUUCCAGUAAGAGUCUGGCUUUUUCGUCGACGCAACACGCUUAGGGUCUAGAACAUUACUGGAGCUUGACAUAAAUGUGGCCGAAUCUCUGGGGAGCCGACCACUUAGCCAACAGGUACCACGCAGUCGGUACUUUCUACGUCUUCUUUUUUAGUACGCUCAAGGAGAUUAAACGAAGGUAUUAAAAAGAGGGAACUCAUAUAUAUUUAUGACGUGUUUUCAAUUAAAGAAAUGAAGACCUGGCGCAGAUUAAAACCCCUUUUCUCUCCCUAAACUCUCUUUAUUCGUUGUACUUCUCGAAACAAAACAGAGAAACGCAAAAGUUGGCGUACAGGCGUACAUUAAAACCUCUUUUCUCUCUCCUUAAACUCUCUCUAUCUGUUAGACUUCCCUACAACACCGAUGUAGUAGGAACAUCAGCGUUCCCUAUGAAAAACACCAUACUAAAGAAACGUACAACUAUUUUCGUGUGUGUGGGUGGUCCAAGUCCAACGAAAAGAAUACUUCUAAACACAGCGAGAAACAAGACUCCAAGAAGUCAAAAUGAAACAUCCAACUAUUUUCGUGUGUGUGAGUGGUCCAAGUAGUCCAACGACACUCACACCGGUAGUACCGAUAGGGUCGUCGUCCAAGUCGAAGACAUGUAGGUAAAAAAGCCGAUGAAACGUAGAAAGUCUAGACGUUAAUGUAUACUACAAUCAAGGGAAGACGGUAUGCUACAUGACGAUGAAGAAGAGUCUACACAACCAAAGACGUCCAGGUAACCAACGAAGUAAAAGUGGAUAUACUAUCGAGCCCCGUACGAGUGGUCAACAAGGCAAUUUUACUGUUUUGGCUGACUUAAAAUAGAGAAUAUACACAAUGAUUUAUGAUCUCCACUAAUAAAAGAAAGCCCCCUAAUGUCAAAAUAUUCGCAAUACGAAAAACUCUGAAACUCCAGGUUUGAUUAAUCAGAAACUCUAGAGUUACGAAGAUAUAUCUAUAUUAAUCAUAAAGACUGUUACUCGUAGAGGCUUCGACGUUGGAUACGAUUUUCAUCACGAAUAUCGGCAUCAUCCGCUAUGUAGUAAUGUUGAUUACACACUGUGAAUAAAACGUUGUCGUUGUAGGUUCAAAAAGUUGUAAAAUGUUAGAAUGAUUACACACGGCGGUUCAAAGAGAUAAAAUCUGCCAUGACAGAACAAUGAAGACUUUUACCCACACACAAGACAAAUCGACUGAUAUUAAGCAACAACAUCAGCUUCUACAAGGGUCCGAUCGUAGACCAAAUCUUGAAAUGUUAAGUGUAGUUAUGACUUAAACAAAACGAUGACUUAAACGUAUAAUAAAGGUUAUAACGCAGAGUAACGUGAAACUUUUAUGUGACCUGAUAGUCACCGCUAAAUUAAGACGAAUAAAGAAUCGAUGUUAUAAGGUAUCUUUUUUGAACUUGAAAUUAUAGACUCACUAAUCACACGAAACAUAUAGACUACAUAGCCCCUUGAGAUUAUAGACUCAAUAUAUAUACCAACAGACCGUUCUAACCAAAAGUGGAUAGAUCGAGGAGUCGAGUUCCAAAAAUUCUGCUAUGUAAAGAACUAUGUAGUUGAUGGGUAUUUGUAUGGAGUACAAACGAAUUUCCUGUUGACUAUAGAGUUAGUCGAGUGGGAAAAGACGGUUUUUGGAUAGUAGUACAAGGAAUUUUAUUCAAUACGAAGACAAACAUGUAAACGUCGAAUACCACGACGUAGAAACCAAGAAAAAUAAGUUAAGUCUCGUCCUCUGUUACGAAAUAUAACUAACAAGACCUAUCCAUAAAUCAGCAUUCUCUAUAGUGGAGACACAGAGGUUUUUUCGUUUUUGUUGUUAAGUGACAACUAAAUGAAACGAUACUAACGAGGGUAAUCUAACAGGAAUUUAGUACACGUUUUGACUUCAUAACACAACCGACUGACAGUCGGACUGUCUACUCUACCCUACUACUACGUCUCACAAUUUUCCGGAUUACCCAAUAGAGGAACCAUCUAAUUCAAACAACCUAACCAAAGUGCGGUAACUUUUGUCUACUGUGGUACGGAGGGGGUUAAUGUACACAGCGAAGGUUCAUCCUGGGCAAACGUUCAUUCUUUCAUUAUUACUUAAAAGAUGAGAGACAAGAGACGACUUGAAAGAAAAGAAAACGGUAAAACCGACCAUCAGAAAGUAUCUUAAAACACUAUAGAUGGACUGAGGUGUUCCAGUACGUUGUAAUUCUUAACGACCCAAAUUUUUUACGUCCUACCUUAAAUAACAAUUAAUUAAUAGAGAUAGACUUCGUUCUGUAAAAAUCAUGUGACAACUUAUCUCAACUACAUAGUCGUACUCAUUGUAACGCCGUAAGAUUCCCAACCAAGAUCUUGGGGUGGAUCUUUCGUGACAAAAAGGUCGUUGAUACACCAAGUAUACAACUACCCUCCUCUUGGUCCUCCAUCACGUUAUAGAAAUAAUCAAUAUGAGUCCCUACGUUUCAGAAGUGGACUACUAAGGUGGGGAAAUGUACUGUGACCGACGCCGUGUCAUCUUUCACAGAGCGGCUACGAGAAAUGCUGUGGUUGACUAGCUAAUUACUGACGUGAGUAUCUCUUGUAUUGUUCCAUAAAAUCCUUCACGAACCUGGUCCAAGUUUAAAAACUGUCAGAAUCCGUGUCACAACCAAAGUUCAAAAAAAGGCUGUGUCAAUUCUGAAAGACUUUACGUCGGAACUUGAUGUACACAAGACAUGUUUCGAACAAAUCAAGAGAUUUUGGACGUGUACAAUCUAUGUCAAACUCGCUUGUACACGUCUAAACACUCUUGAUUUUUUUGAAACAGGUCUUGUACAGGCAACUAUCAUUCUAACAAACACUAUUACUUUCCUCUGUUACGCAAACUAUAUCGAACAGUACUCUAUUACUUUGUUAUCACAAAUAAACCAGUGGUCGUUCUACUACUACACUUUGCUUGCCGAUAAACGCGGAAAGUCUCAAAGAUGGUAAAUUAUCAAAGGGUAUUGUCUUAUAAACGAUUAUCAAUCUGCUGGAACACUAAAACAAAGAUACCCAUUUGUUUAUAUUCCAAUUAGUACAUUCGUAUCGAACUCGUUUUCGUGUACUCAAUCGAAGACCUAACCAUCGAUUUUUACUCUAUGAAUACCAACAACUACGGAAGGAAAAAAACAUCAUUGUAGGUACACAGGUCGUAUACAUCUUGUAAUCUAAAAAGAACCAACUAACAACAUCAAGCAAGAGUUCCAAACCUUUCAAGAAAUCGAUAUAAGGAACAGAGUACGUUCGUCCUCGUUAUAGAAGAAAUACGACACACGGCGGUUCAAAGAGAUAAAAUCUACCAACACAGAAAAGCGAAGAUUCUUCCCUAUACAUAAAAUAAUUAGACUGAUAUUAAACACCAUCCAUGUACGACUUUCUACAAGACUCCGAUCGUGGACCAAAUCUUCAAAACGUUAAGUGCUGUUAUGGAGUAUUAACACUAAACUACAGGUCUUACAAUUAACUUCUUACUCAGAUACUUGACUUGACGUAACAUAAAACAUUAUAUAGGAAUAUAUAUAUAUAUAUACCACGAACACCGCAAAAAAGCAUUAAUAUUCAAAAAUCUUGUUAAGCGGAAGAUAGUGAACGCUGGAUCUGGUAGAAAAAGACCUGACUAACUAAGGUCAAAUAAAUAUAAACAUUUUUGGAGUAACUGAGUCCAAAGAAAUAUAAACAAGUCCAAAGUCAGUUGCCUUUGUCCUGACGACAUGCGUGAAGAAAAUGCUUCUACAUGAACCACAACGAACCAUCCCUCUUUACUUCACACACGGAGUAACACUUAAGAUAGCUCUUCGUUGAUAAAAUCAAUAUACAGUUAAAGAUCCUGUGUGCUCCAGUCGAAUUUAUACCUUCAGACGAAUGUCACAAGGGUGCGAAUACGAAGUAGGUCCCCUCACGACUGUCACCUACUAAAAAAAACAUAUUAACCAAACCUGUAGUAUUCAUGUUAAAUCCGAUACCUUCACACAACCUAGGGAUACGAAGUAAAUGAUAUGCGGGAGGGAGGAACGGAAAACAGAACGAAGAGUUAGUUGUGGACCCAUUAAUACCCCCUUAUAUCGGAGAAGAGACCAGUUUG